GGGCCAAGGCGGGCGGGAGAGCGGGGGGACGGGGGGUGCUCCCCGCACAGCUCCGCGGGCGCGGAGACCCCCCAGGCUCACCCCGAGCGCGGUCGGGGCAUCCCCGUGGGCUCCCGAGGGCCCGGGCGGUGGCGGUGCCCACACCGACGGGGGGGGGGGGGGGGGGGGGGGGGGUGCCCCCGUGCCGGGCGGCAGCGGCACCGGGCAGCCCCCUGCCAGCCCCCAAGUCCCCUCUGCGGCCGGGGUGGCCCAUGGCGGGGCCGGGGGUGUGCCAGGGGGCGCCGAGCCCCUCAGCAGGGGAAGGGGGCAGGAUUUGCUGCCGUUUCACCGGACGUUAUGAAACUAAGCCCAAAAGAAAGGAGCGGGGAAAAGAAACCGCUAUCUCUUGUCUCCUCCAGGACGUCGGGAAAAGCCGGGCGCGAGGAGCUUUUGGAGGAGAAAGCGCUCCUCCGCGGAGAGCUCCCAUCUCCAAGCACUCGACUUCGGUGCUAAGCUUAUCAUAAAGAAACCUACCAGAGCCAAACUUCAGGUUUUGCCUCGCAGAAGCACAAAGAAAUGUCAGGUCAUUAAUUAAGCUUCGUGUUAGUAUCAGCACAUAUCGAUGGAUUGUUAGGGGAAUGGGGAAGGUCUUUAAACUUCGUUAUGACUUACUGCUAUACUGCUAACUUUCUGCGCUUUGCUUCCUAAAGGCGCUCUAUGUGAAUUUCCUGCAUUUGCAUUAGAAUGCAUUUAGGAUGAAAAAAUAACAGUGCUGACUAUAUUUAGGGUUUCGUGCUAUAUUUCCCUGUAGUAACAGGUGACAUGAUAAUACUAUUAAACUACAAUGUGGAAUUGCAAGUGUGCAACCCCAA